AGCAGGGGGAAUAACACAGGGCUGUGAAUGAGUCCUGUCACUGUGAUCAGGCUCCUCCUUCUAAUCCACCAACUUAGUGUUGAUGAAGACUAAACAGAGAGAUCACAGCUUCUUUAUACUUGCUGUAGCUCACAGUUACUCUACACUGCAGAUAUGACGCCUCUGUUCAUCUCAGUGCUGCUGGCUGCUAUGUGCCUCGAAUGCAGAGCACAAAAAGACAACGUGCUGCAAGCAAAAGGAGAAGAGACUGCUGCUGACGGAGGCACAGUAACACUUGGCUGUCAGUAUAACACCAGCAGUACAGCACCUUCUCUCUUCUGGUACAAACAGGAUGGAAACAAUAGCCCCAAAUUCAUCCUGAGUCACAUUAGCAGGGAUGAUGGAAACACAGCAGACGAGUUCAAGGAGAGAUUUUCCUCCACACUGGAUUCCAGCAUCAGAUCAGCUCCUCUGAAGAUCCAGAAGCUUCAGCUGUCUGACUCUGCUGUGUACUACUGUGCUCUGCAGCCCACAGUGACAGGAAACACCAAAACUCUGUACAAAAACCUUUGGAGCAAAGACAACAGAAUACUCCACAACAUCCACUAGAGGGAGC